UACGGAGGGUGCAAGCGUUAAUCGGAAUUACUGGGCGUAAAGCGCACGCAGGUGGCUGAGUCAGUCGAUUGUGAAAGCCCUGGGCUUAACCUGGGAAUUGCAGUCGAUACUACUCAGCUAGAGUAUGGGAGAGGGCAGUGGAAUUCCCGGUGUAGCGGUGAAAUGCGUAGAUAUCGGGAGGAGCAUCAGUGGCGAAGGCGGCUGCCUGGCCCAAUACUGACACUCAGGUGCGACAGCGUGGGGAGCAAACAGG
rnacentral:rRNA from 1 species